rnacentral:lncRNA from 1 species
GCACAUUUUUCAACUUCGUUGUUAGAUUUAAAAAAUACAGUGGAGUCCUCGCUGUCCGCACGGCCGGUGAUGUCGCACAUCCGAUGAUUUCGUCAUAUCCAUACAGUAACACAAAUAAAAUCGUUCAUUUAAUUUUUAAAAGACGAUAGGUCAAUAUUGGGCACUGCUUCAUGAGUUAUCAGACACAAAUAGGGAAAAUUCCACAUCCGAUGUGUCAACAGAUGCUUAGUUUUCUUAUUUUAAAAAUUUAAGUGAAAAAGAGACUAAUGCGUCCUGUGAUUAUUUAAAAGAUAAGC